GACAAAGCUGGGUAUCCAAGCUGGUUUUUGAUAAAAAUAUUAUGUCCUCCUACUCAGUUUUAACAGAUUUCGAUUGGGAAGCCUCGGUUGUUCUGGAUUCAAAAUUUUUGGCCAAACAGAGCACCCCGCUUAUAUCUCUAACAUUAACUACAGACGAGGGGAUUUUUAAGGUUGAGAUGAAUUUGUCCGAGCUGAGUCUCCUCAUCAACAAAAUAGAAGAGUCAGAACCUACCUCAGCCUCAUUUGUUUAAUCUAAACCUUACAAUGCGAAAAUAAAAAAUGUCGUCUUUUCAGAAGGUUCUUUCAAUCUAUUUUUUGCAAUUAAUGUAUGACUUGAAUAAAUUUAGUCUUAUAAAAAA